rnacentral:rRNA from 1 species
GGGCCCGCACAAGCGGUGGAGCAUGUGGUUUAAUUCGACGCAACGCGAAGAACCUUACCUACACUUGACAUCCUCGGAACUUUCUAGAGAUAGAUCGGUGCCUUCGGGAACCGAGUGACAGGUGCUGCAUGGCUGUCGUCAGCUCGUGUCGUGAGAUGUUGGGUUAAGUCCCGUAACGAGCGCAACCCUUAUCCUUAGUUGCCAGCACUUCGGGUGGGAACUCUAAGGAGACUGCCGGUGACAAACCGGAGGAAGUGGGGGACGACGUCAAGUCAUCAUGGCCCUUACGGCCUGGGCUACACACGUGCUACAAUGGCAAGUACAGACGGCUGCGAACCCCGCGAGGGGAAGCUAA